rnacentral:rRNA from 1 species
AAGUUCGGCAGCUACCAUGCAGUCGAGGGGUAACAUAGAAAAGCUUGCUUUUCUGAUGACGACCGGCGCACGGGUGCGUAACGCGUAUACAACCUACCUUUUAGCGGGGAAUAGCCCAGGGAAACUUGGAUUAAUGCCCCAUAGUAUAUAGACUUCUCCUGAAGUUUAUAUUAAACAUUUAUGGCUAUUAGAUGGGUAUGCGUCCUAUUAGUUAGUUGGUAAGGUAACGGCUUACCAAGGCAGCGAUAGGUAGGGGUCCUGAGAGGGAGAUCCCCCACACUGGUACUGAGACACGGACCAGACUCCUACGGGAGGCAGCAGUGAGGAAUAUUGGACAAUGGGCGAGAGCCUGAUCCAGCCAUGCCGCGUGCAGGAAGACUGCCCUAUGGGUUGUAAACUGCUUUUACAGAGGAAGAACCACCCCCACGUGUGGGGGUUUGACGGUACUCUGCGAAUAAGGAUCGGCUAACUCCGUGCCAGCAGCCGCGGUAAUACGGAGGAUCCAAGCGUUAUCCGGAAUCAUUGGGUUUAAAGGGUCCGUAGGCGGGCAGUUAAGUCAGUGGUGAAAGUCUUCCGCUCAACGGGAGAACUGCCAUUGAUACUGAUUGUCUUGAGUUAUUAUGAAGUGGUUAGAAUGAGUAGUGUAGCGGUGAAAUGCAUAGAUAUUACUCAGAAUACCGAUUGCGAAGGCAGAUCACUAAUAAUAUACUGACGCUGAUGGACGAAAGCGUAGGUAGCGAACAGGAUUAGAUACCCUGGUAGUCUACGCCGUAAACGAUGGUUACUAGCUGUUCGGCCCAAUUGAGGGCUGAGUGGUUAAGCGAAAGUGAUAAGUAACCCACCUGGGGAGUACGUUCGCAAGAAUGAAACUCAAAGGAAUUGACGGGGGCCCGCACAAGCGGUGGAGCAUGUGGUUUAAUUCGAUGAUACGCGAGGAACCUUACCAGGGCUUAAAUGUAGUCUGACAGGUCUGGAAACAGACUUUUCUUCGGACAGAUUACAAGGUGCUGCAUGGUUGUCGUCAGCUCGUGCCGUGAGGUGUCAGGUUAAGUCCUAUAACGAGCGCAACCCCUGUGGUUAGUUGCCAGCGAGUAAUGUCGGGAACUCUAGCCAGACUGCCGGUGCAAACCGCGAGGAAGGUGGGGAUGACGUCAAAUCAUCACGGCCCUUACGUCCUGGGCCACACACGUGCUACAAUGGUAGGGACAGAGAGCAGCCACUUCGCGAGAAGGAGCGAAUCUACAAACCCUAUCACAGUUCGGAUCGCAGUCUGCAACUCGACUGCGUGAAGCUGGAAUCGCUAGUAAUCGCAUAUCAGCCAUGAUGCGGUGAAUACGUUCCCGGGCCUUGUACACACCGCCCGUCAAGCCAUGGAAGCCGGGGGUACCUGAAGUCGGUCACCGCAAGGAGCCGCCUAGGUAAACUAU